rnacentral:rRNA from 1 species
AGUACUGCGAGUGAGCGGGAGAGCUCAAAUUUGUAAUCUGGCGGUCUUUGGCCGUCUGAGUUGUAGUCUGCAGAGGCGUCAUCCGCGUCGGACCAGUGUACAAGUCUCCUGGAACGGAGUGUCGUAGAGGGUGAGAAUCCCGUCCAUGACACGGACUGUCGAUGCUUUGUGAGGUGCCCUCAGAAGAGUCGCGUUGUUUGGGAAUGCAGCGCAAAACGGGUGGUAAAUUCCAUCUAAGGCUAAAUAUUGGCGAGAGACCGAUAGCGAACAAGUACCGUGAGGGAAAGAUGAAAAGCACUUUGGAAAGAGAGUUAAACAGUAUGUGAAAUUGUUGAAAGGGAAACGCUCGAAGUCAGUCGCGUCUCGAGGCAUUCAGCCUUGCUUCGGCUCGGUGCACUUGCCUUGAGAUGGGUCAACGUCAAUUUUGGCCGGUGGACAAGGGUGAGGGGAAUGUGGCGUUGCUUUGGUGACGUGUUAUAGCCCCUCGUCGGAUGCGCCGGCUGGGAUUGAGGACCGCAGCACGCCCUUGUGGCCGGAGGCUUGCCCUCAUGCAACGUGCUUAGGAUGUUGGCAUAAUGGCUUUAAGCGACCCGUCUUGAAACACGGACCAAGGAGUCCAACGUGCUUGCGAGUGUUCGGGUGGAAAACCCUUGCGCGCAAUGAAAGUGAAAGUUGGGAGCCCUCCUCGGAGGGUGCACCGACGCCCGGCCUGAAGGUUCUCUGACGGUGCUGUGGUGGAGCAAGUGUGUUGGGACCCGAAAGAUGGUGAACUAUGCCUGAAUAGGGCGAAGCCAGAGGAAACUCUGGUGGAGGCUCGUAGCGAUUCUGACGUGCAAAUCGAUCGUCAAAUUUGGG